rnacentral:misc_RNA from 1 species
GGAAGCGGCUGUCCAGCUCCACCUCGGGCCACGGGCCUUCGAGGUGCUUGACGAAGCGCGAGUUGCCGUAGUAGCUCGGCCACAGGUCGGGCCGGCGCAGCCAGGCGAAGACGCGCUCGGGCUCAGCCGCGAUCUGCAACUCGUUGACGGCGUGCAGCCGGGACUGCUCGGGUCGCAGGCCGUCGGGCCAGCGGAUGACGGUCCCGGUCUCGCUUGCUGCGGCGGCGCUCACGCCGCCAAGCCUAUCCGCGCUGGGAGCCCUCGGCCUCGGGCUCUGCGUCGGCGUCGUCCGCGUCGACGUCCGCGUCCGCGUCUGUGUCGGCGUCCGCUCUGGUGCGGCCGUUGUUGUCGAUCUCGGGGUCGACCUCGGAGGCGCGCUCUUGGUGCCUGGAGGCGCGGUCGGCCUCGGUCUCCGCCGCUUCGCGAAGCUCCUCCGCCUUGGCCUCGUGGUCGGCCGCGAUCGAGCGGUGGCCCUCGGCCUCGGCGGUCAGCUUCUCGCGCUCUCGCUCACGCUCCAACCGGCGUCGCUCGGCGCCGCGCCUGCCCACGUAGAGCAGUCCCGCGAGGAGAAGUACUCCGAUGACGAUCAAGAGAAUGUCCAUUGGUGCGUCCUCCCUGGCUAAUUGAUGUGCAGAUUGACGUCGAACAGGACCAGCGGCCAGAGCAGGAUCGCGAGAACCGCCGACAGCACCGCCUCGAGGUCGUCGACGUUCUUGAAGUAGUUGUGGUCGGCCGCAACGAACACGCCGAUCAGCAGGUAGAUGAUCGUGAAGAGGCUUGGUCCGCGUCGUCUGUACAUGCGAACCGGACUACCCGGCCGCGGACGCUCGAAACCCGAUCCACC